rnacentral:rRNA from 1 species
UACGAAGGGGGCUAGCGUUGUUCGGAAUUACUGGGCGUAAAGCGCACGUAGGCGGACAUUUAAGUCAGGGGUGAAAUCCCAGAGCUCAACUCUGGAACUGCCUUUGAUACUGGGUGUCUUGAGUAUGGAAGAGGUGAGUGGAAUUCCGAGUGUAGAGGUGAAAUUCGUAGAUAUUCGGAGGAACACCAGUGGCGAAGGCGGCUCACUGGACCGGUACUGACGCUGAUGCGCGAAAGCGUGGGGGAGCAAACGGGG